rnacentral:hammerhead_ribozyme from 1 species
AUUUAACUGACGAAUCUCAACUAGGAUGAAACGUAUGUCAAACUGAAU